GACGAACGCUGGCGGCGUGGAUUAGGCAUGCAAGUCGAACGGUAUCAUCCUUUCGGGGGUGAGAGAGUGGCGAACUGGUGAGUAACACGUAGGUUAUCUACCCUCAAGACGGGGACAGCCCAGGGAAACUUGGGCUAAUACCGGAUGUGAGCAACUUUUAGUUGUUUGAAAGGUGGCGUAAGCUGUCGCUUGGGGAUGAGCCUGCGUCCUAUUAGUUAGUUGGUGAGGUAACGGCUCACCUAGGCAAUGAUAGGUAGGCGGCCUUAACGGGUGGUCGCCCACACUGGGAUUGAGAUACGGCCCAGACUCCUACGGGAGGCAGCAGUCGAGAAUAGUCUACAAUGGUCGGAAGACUGAUAGUGCGACGCCGCGUGAACGAUGAAUCCCUUCGGGGUGUAAAGUUCUUUUAUAUGUGAGCAGUGCUUCUUAUAUUAACAGUAUGGGGAGAGAGAUAUUAGCAUAUGAAUAAGCAACGGCUAACUCCGUGCCAGCAGCCGCGGUAAAA
rnacentral:rRNA from 1 species